UACGUAGGGGGCAAGCGUUGUCCGGAAUCAUUGGGCGUAAAGAGCUCGUAGGUGGUUUGUCGCGUUGUUCGUGAAAACUCACAGCUUAACUGUGGGCGUGCGGGCGAUACGGGCAGACUGGAGUACUGCAGGGGAGACUGGAAUUCCUGGUGUAGCGGUGGAAUGCGCAGAUAUCAGGAGGAACACCGGUGGCGAAGGCGGGUCUCUGGGCAGUAACUGACGCUGAGGAGCGAAAGCGUGGGGAGCGAACAGG
rnacentral:rRNA from 1 species